GACGAACGCUGGCGGCGUGCUUAACACAUGCAAGUCGAACGGUGAACCUGCUUCGGUGGGGGAUCAGUGGCGAACGGGUGAGUAACACGUGGGCAACCUGCCCCCGGCUCUGGGAUAACUCCAAGAAAUUGGGGCUAAUACCGGAUAUGACCGCUGACCGCAUGGUCUGGUGGUGGAAAGAUUUAUCGGCUGGGGAUGGGCCCGCGGCCUAUCAGCUUGUUGGUGGGGUAGUGGCCUACCAAGGCGACGACGGGUAGCCGGCCUGAGAGGGUGACCGGCCACACUGGGACUGAGACACGGCCCAGACUCCUACGGGAGGCAGCAGUGGGGAAUAUUGCGCAAUGGGCGAAAGCCUGACGCAGCGACGCCGCGU
rnacentral:rRNA from 1 species